AUCCAGGCGUGUUUCCAGCUGUGAUCGCAGGAGUAAGUGCUGCUGUUCUGCUGAUGGUGUCUGCGGCUGCUGGUGUGAUUCACUAUCACCGCUCUAGAAAGGCAGGCAGGGAGAAAAUCAAAAGACCUUACAAAGAACUGGAAAAAGAUGAGAAUAAAAAUACAGAUUGUGACAUUUGAGA